CAGUGAUGCCAUGAGAUUGCUGCGUGUCUUACUGGACGGUUUGCUGCUCUAGAUAAGUGGGCGGAGAAGCCAGCCUUUGGGACGCCUUUGGAAGUACACCUAAAGCGGUGCGGCCGUGAGAUCGCCCUGCCCAUGGAAGCCUGCGUCAUGCUGCUCCUGGAGAUGGGCAUGAAGGAGGAGGGCCUUUUCCGAAUUGGGGCUGGGGCCUCCAAGUUAAAGAAACUGAAAGCCGCUUUAGACUGUUCUACUUCCCACCUGGGUGCUUUAAAUUCCUAUUUACGGGAACUGCCUGAACCUUUGAUGACUUUUAAUCUGUAUGAAGAAUGGACACAAGUUGCAAGGUAAGUUUAAAGAACACCGAGUUUUCAAAGUUAAAGGAAAUGAUGGGAUAUUAUGUCCCCUUUGUGAGUCAUCUUACUCUCAGGGAUCAUAAAAUAACAUUAAAAUAGCACAUGUGUUAAAUAGUAUGUGCCUCAGGUCUUACGUGUUGGGCGAAAAUAUUGAGUAUUAUUAUUAGGAUGGGAGAGUCAGCACUUCAAUUCGAGUGAUGUAUAUGGAUGAAGACAUAGAGUGCGACCCACAUUAAUAGAGCAGCUGGUCACAAGCUCCUUUUAGAUGGAAAAAAGCCCUGUCACGGGGACAGGUAUCAUACUGGCCAAUGGCGAUGUGCCUGGCGAGCCGUGGGGAAAUUCAGCCAUGCAGUAAUACAGUGUUGACAGUACUAGUAAUGACAGUUAAUGCUUACUUGUGCUCAGUACAUACUAAUCUUGAUACCCAUUACCUCCUGUCAUCCAUGACCAAUGACAUAAAAGAUAGAUGUGGUUAGCCUCAUUUUCCAGACAUGGAAACUGAGGCUGGGGGAGGCAUGGGGCCCAAGGAACAGCAAGUCAUGGGCAGAGCGGGAACUCAGGCCCAGACCCAUCUGCGCCCAAGACUGUGUCCCUGUUCUUUGCUCCUUCACCCCCACCCCCAGUUUCCGUGUACCAGGAGCUAUUGGCAGCCUUGUCCAAAAAGUCCCAGAGGCUUCUCUCUGGCCAGCCAGACUGCCUCCUUGUUAGCUUGUGCCUCACGGUUCUGACUCACCUCCUCCCGCAGGUGCCUAAUUCCUCAGCCCUAAGGGAGGGGGAACAGAUCUCCCGUCCCCUCCUCCCCUUCCCCUGUCUUUCGCCACUGUCACCCGUUCCCAGCAGAUGGGCCGCCAGGUCUGACCAGUUAGGCUUCUGUGGCAGGUGCCUCUACCCCCGUCAAUAAGGUUUUUAAAGUCAGAGUAAGGGACGCCUGGGUGGCUCAGUCAGUUAAGUGUCUGCCUUUAGCUCGGGUUGUGAUCCUGGGGUUCUGAGAUCGAGUCCUGCAUCAGGCUCCCUGCUCAGGGGGGGAGCCUGCUUCUCCCUCUGCCUGCUGCUCCCCCUGCUUGUGCUCUCAUUCUCUCUCUCUCUCUGACAAAUAAAUAAAUAAAAUCUUUUUUUAAAAGUCAGUAAGUUCGUAGUCACGGUCAUAUCCUUGGAAACUGCAUGUGGCCCAGCCUGUUUUAAAAGUCUGUUUGUGGGGCUGAAUAAAGGGAAC